rnacentral:ncRNA from 2 species
CUCGUCUCAUCGGGGUGCCCUGAUUCAUCCGAAUCCUGGCUGAGAGGUCUUCGGACUAACCCGCGAACCUGAUCCGGAUCAUGCCGGCGGAGGGAUUGAGCCAAGCGCAGAU